CACAGCCAUGAGAGACAGACAGCAGAACCAACCAAGUGCUGCCUGCCACUGGAGCAACAGCAAGACAUGGUGAGCACACAUUCACCUUGCCAUGGUCGCGCCUCAUGUGAGCCACAAAGACCUCCCUGGAAGCAAAGAGGGUAUUGCAGUCUCCACAUGUGUAUCCUGAGCCAGGAGGGUUCUUGAGCAUGUGACAACCUACUUGGGCUCUCCUGCUUUCACUCCUGGAUGCUGUGUGUACGCAUGGGAGUGUGUGCCAGGUGCAGACUUGAA